GAUGAACGCUGGCGGCGUGCCUAAUACAUGCAAGUCGAGCGAACAGACGAGGAGCUUGCUCCUCUGACGUUAGCGGCGGACGGGUGAGUAACACGUGGAUAACCUACCUAUAAGACUGGGAUAACUUCGGGAAACCGGAGCUAAUACCGGAUAAUAUAUUGAACCGCAUGGUUCAAUAGUGAAAGACGGUUUUGCUGUCACUUAUAGAUGGAUCCGCGCCGCAUUAGCUAGUUGGUAAGGUAACGGCUUACCAAGGCAACGAUGCGUAGCCGACCUGAGAGGGUGAUCGGCCACACUGGAACUGAGACACGGUCCAGACUCCUACGGGAGGCAGCAGUAGGGAAUCUUCCGAGAUGGGCGAAAGCUUGACGGAGCAACGCCGCGUGAGUGAUGAAGGUCUUCGGAUCGUAAAACUCUGUUAUUAGGGAAGAACAAAUGUGUAAGUAACUAUGCACGUCUUGACGGUACCUAAUCAGAAAGCCACGGCUAACUACGUG
rnacentral:rRNA from 1 species